rnacentral:lncRNA from 1 species
GUUAUUUUGUUGGAAAAAAUGAUGUUGCAAAAUUCUAGAUUAUUUUGUUGUAAACAAAUACUUCCCAAGCCAUUAGGAGUUCUAUGCAGGAACUCGUGCAAGAAAUCGUUCAAUGUGACAUGGGAAAAACCAGACAUCGGUUGGAUAAAAUUAAACUAUGAUGGAUCCUGCAAAUGCAAGACGGGAAAAUCAAGCAUCGGAGGGAUUUUCAGGAACCAUAAUGCCGAAUUCUUACUCGGAUAUGCUGAAUCAAUCGGAAAUUCCAACAGCACGAUUGCAGAAUUGGCUGCUCUUCGAAGAGGCCUUGAGUUAGUACUUGAGAAUGGUUGGAACGACGUAUGGCUUGAAGGAGAUUCCAAGAGUCUAGUCGACAUAAUUGCACGAAAAAAACCAGUAAAAUGCGUAGAAGUACAGAGGCAUGUUAAGCAUAUAAAUUUGAUGAUGCCAGAAAUUCAAAACUGUAUUUUAACACACAUUUAUAGGGAAGGCAAUAGGGCUGCCGAUAAAUUUGCACAAAUGGGACACAAUUUGAAGAACCCACAAAUUUGGCGGGACAUUCCUCGAAAUGAAGUUCUUCGACGUAUCGUGCUUCAAGAUGCUGGAGGCAAAACGCUUCUGCGAAGAAAAUAAACUAAAUUAUACGUAAUUUUCAUUUUCUUGUUGCAAGAUUUUCUUCUAAAUGAACAUAAUUGUAAUAUCUCAGACAUAAGAACUAGGAAGAAUUCGAAGUAUUUGCCAAAACAGCACAAAUAGAGGCAACAACAUUGUACAACUCAAUGUAAAUACUUGAUUCUUGGUAUUCAUUGUUGAUUUUCUAGAGCGAACAGAUCGUACUAUGAUUUCAAUUUCAG